GAGGGUAUAGCUCAGUGGUUAGAGUGCAUGCUUAGCAUGCAUGAAGUCCUGGGUUCAAUCCCCAGUACCCUCC
rnacentral:tRNA from 1 species